AUUUUGGGCAAUGGGCGAAAGCCUGACCCAGCAACGCCGCGUGGGUGACGAAGGCCUUCGGGUCGUAAAGCCCUUUUCCUCGGGACGAUGGUGACGGUACCGGGGGAAUAAGCCUCGGCUAACUACGUGCCAGCAGCCGCGGUAAUACGUAGGAGGCAAGCGUUGCCCGGAAUCAUUGGGCGUAAAGCGCGCGCAGGCGGCCGCGUGCGGUCCCGCGUGGAAUCUCCCGGCUCAACCGGAAGGGGCCGCGGGAGACGGCGCGGCUGGAGUGGGGGAGGGGAGAGCGGAAUUCCCGGUGUAGUGGUGGAAUGCGUAGAGAUCGGGAGGAACACCCGUGGCGAAGGCGGCUCUCUGGACCCUGACUGACGCUGAGGCGCGAAAGCGUGGGGAGCGAUC
rnacentral:rRNA from 1 species